rnacentral:tmRNA from 1 species
GGGGCUGACCGGUUUUGACAGCAGGUUGAAUGCAUAAGCAAGCAUGCCGAGCCAUGUGAUAAAGCUCGUAAAUCCGUGUCACACAACUAUUAAUUGGCGAAACAAAUUACGCUCUCGCAGCCUAAUCGAAGUACAGUAGAUUAAGGCCUUAUUCUCCGGCCAAGGUUGCCGGGGACGGGACGGUUUGCAGGUGGAGAUGUCUGAUUCCGGCCUGAUCACGAACCGCACGCAAUUUCAGACUGGUCACGGCUUUGCCUCGCAGUCGUGACGAGAUAAAGAGGCUAAGGCAGAGUUCAGGAUGCUUGUUUCCUUGCUUUGCCCGACAAUCAACAACAAGCUAAGCAUGUAGAAAGCUUGUGGGUUACCUGUUUGGACGAGGGUUCGAAUCCCUCCAGCUCCACGA